GGUUGUGUAGUGUAGUGGUAAUCACUCCGGAUUUUGAUUCCGGCAACCCCGGUUCGAACCCGGGCACGACCUCA